AACGAACGCUGGCGGCGUGGAUUAGGCAUGCAAGUCGAACGCGAAAGAGGGGGUAACUCCUCGAGUAGAGUGGCGAACGGGUGAGUAACACGUGAGAAACCUGCCUUCAGCAGGGGGAUAACACUCCCAACGGGGUGCUAAUACCGCAUGAGACCACGGAUUCGCAUGGAUCUGGGGUCAAAGGUGGCCUCUGCUUGCAAGCUACCGGCUGAAGAUGGUCUCGCGUCCCAUUAGCUAGUUGGUGGGUAAUGGCCCACCAAGGCGACGAUGGGUAGCUGGUCUGAGAGGAUGGUCAGCCACACUGGGACUGAGAUACGCCCAGACUCCUACGGGAGCAGCAGUCGAGAGGCUUUGGCAA
rnacentral:rRNA from 1 species